CGAUGCAGGGCUGGAACUCAAAAACUGCAAGAUCAUGACCUGAGCUGAAGCCGGACGCUCAACCAACUGAGCCACCCAGGUGCCACGAAUGUGUUGAUUCUAAACCUCAUGCUUCUAGGUUUCUUCUCUCUUGCCUUCUUGCAAGCCUAUGUAAGUCAAAUUAUCUGCCUUAUAUUGCAGAUGAGGUCUGCAGUGGUGUUUGCUAAAUUUGCAUUAUCUGAGUUGAGCCCAGCCCUCGGGCACGCCACGUCUUUACCCCAGCCUACCAGCCCCAAACACAGUCUUCCUCUUUCCUCCCCAGGCACCCACGCCAGAAAACUGGGAACUGUGCUGACCUCUUUCUUUCUUCACGUGCAGCCAACCAAAGCCCCAGCAGAUUCUGGAACUCCUUGCUCUGAGCUUGGCCCAGACGGCGGGGUCACACGAAGGAUCCCACGCGAGAGACCACUGUCCACGUGAAGCCGCCCUGCACCUUCGUCAUCCUCAUUUCUGCCCACGGUCUCAGCCCGGGACCAGCACACCCAGCAUGUGCACACGCCCAGACACACGCACACAACCCGUCCCCCCACCGCGAGGCAUGCUCUUCGGAGGCAACCCCGGUGGGACAGGAACUACAGAUUCCACAUAACAACCCAGAAAGGGACGCUUGGGUCCAAUGUGCCGGAGGCGACCUUGAACGUGUUGCUUCUAAUCCCCGGUUUGGAAAACGGGAAGGGUUUUCGCUGCCGGGAUGGGACAAAGGGAGGCGCCAAACAGCAGAGAAAAGACCCUUCUCCUGGGCUCCUGACUAGGCAAGCCUCCCCAGGAAAGGAGAACUCUCCUUCCUCCCCCUGCGCCCAGCCCUGCUCCCUCCACCCUCCCCAAUCAUUUCAGUCUCACCUUGUGUCACUUCUAACAUCUGAACUCUGCGCGCCUUGGCCUUGGGAAGCCCGGAUGAGUCUUGCCUGCUGCUUACGGCUCUGCACUGAGCAAGUACUCGGGUCCUCUGGAGAUGGGGGUGCUGGCAGGGCACUUCUCGAUGUUUCUUUCACAAGAAGCUUCAAGUGUCCAGUUAUCGUUGCAUUCUGAUCAUUCACAGGCUCCGAAACAAGAACCAGCCUCCCUAUCUUUUACAGGGAGCCUCAAAAUAACAUGCGCCCAGUAAGAGAGAAAGUCACAUAAACACCGUUCACACACAAACACUCAGAUUCACUUACGAGCCGGGGCAAGGAAGCACAUAGAGGCUUUUCUGAAAUGCCUUCUCUCUGCCGCACCAACGCAAGGACACGCCUAGAACCCCCGGGGCACCUACGUCGACAGAGGCCUGGAUACUGUGGCGACACACGUGUGCAAACAGACAUGGUCAGACCCAGGCACACGCCCCGCUGUGGACCCGUCCACUUCCCCGGGGGACCCAGGUUUUAGCCUGAACAACGCAAGCCACAGAGGAUGUGCAGCAUGGCCAGUCCGCUGGUGAGUGUGGACGAGAACGGUCUCAAACGGUCCCCUAGAACGACUCGUGGUUUGGAAACAGAAGAAGUUACAUGUCAGUCACGGUGGCAAGAAAGCAGAGCUGGGAGAAGGUUCACAACCAACACAGCGGCUGUGUCUGCGAGGGUGUUUCCAGAAGAGAUUAGCAUUUGGAUCGGUAGACUGAGUACAGAAGAUCACCCUCCCCGGGGCAGGUGGGAAGCAUCCCAUCUGUGAAGAGCCUGAAUGUAACAGAAAAGAGGAAAGGUGAAUUUGCUCUCUUCGCUCGAGCUGGGACAACCAUCGUCUCCCGGCCUCGGACAUCAGAGCUCCCGGUUCCUGAGCCUUCUGGCUCAAGACUGGGACCCCCGCCAUCAGCGCCCUAAUCCUUUGGACUCAGCCUCGCCUGGAUCUGCAGCUUGCAGACGGCAGAUCGUGGGACUUCUCAGCCUCCGUAAUCACGUGAGCCAGUUCCCAUAAUAAACCUCCUCUGACGUGUGUCUCCGGA